rnacentral:lncRNA from 1 species
CGCACCUCCUCUGUGUCGUGUGGAAUAUUUCGAGGUUUAACAGCGAGAUCAUUGCUUUCACUUUACUCUCAAGUGGGAACUUUGACAAAAAGGCCAAGCUCAGCGAAAGGAACAUCAGGCUUCUGCGGCUGAACAUCCUCUCAGCCCACAAAAACUGGAAAAAAAGGGGGAAAACAAAAUUUUGUUCCGAAACAAUAACCAAGUUGCAAAGAAAAAAAAUCAUUUGCCUGUUUAAAGUUACUUUUGCUGUUUUCAACAAUGACUUCUCAUGCUUUCGAUGGGAUUUUACCUGGAGGGUUACAGAAAGUCAGGGCAAUCCUGAUGACCUCCGCACUGCUCGCCGUUUGCGUUCUCAUCAACUUCCUCCUCAAAGCCGAUUACCACUGCAUCUGCAGUGAUUUCUCGGUCAGAGGCACAGCGUUUUUUAUAGUUUACAUUCUUUUACCAGCACUGAGUUUGUUUCUCCUCGUUCUCGUGACCAACAAGUCCUGCAUGGCACCAAGCCGACUUCUUUGCUGCUGCUGUCCAUCACGGCGCAGUAAGGAAAUCCUUUGUCUGUGCUGCAGGAACAGAUGCACACCAGUUACGAAGGGUUUGUUUGCAGCGUGUGUGUGGAUAAUAUCGGUCCUGUUUGAUGGGGACUGGUAUGUGUGUCUCCGAACAUCACGGAACAUCGCCGAAGUCCGUCUGCCCUGCGAGAGUAAAGAGAGUCGCACAGCUGAAGAAAAUUCCAUGAUCACUCAGUAUUACAAUGAAUCAAUGACUUUUUUGACAGUAUGUUCCACAGUGUCCCCGUCACGUCCCCCGCAGCCGGCACAUCGGCGACACCUGCCGUUUCCUAUGGGAACGGCAAUAAAGAGGGAAGCCGAGGAAGCCCAGAUGUAGAACUUUGUUUCCUAGCGAACCGCGCCACAGUGAAACCCUUCCGAUAUCGACCUUUGCCUGUACAUUCCUGACCUCGUUCUUUGUCUGGCCCUCUCUACUACGUUUGCUGAUCGCCUGACCCGCGCCUGCCCCUCGACUUUGCUUUUGGAUUCCGAUUUGGCUUUGUUAACCGUCUGUUUACGACAACCCCGCGCUUGAGUCCGUCCUUGCUAAGCGCAACCGUGACAGUCCCGACCACGUGAACCAGCAGCAACUGGCUCCAGUUAAGCACCUGAUUUCAACUGGAACACUUCCCUCUGUGCUCUCAGACUUACCUUGCUCCGCUUAUCGCUCAUCAUCCCCUCAACAUCCCCUAGUCCUGCUCCACGGCUCCCUGGUUCUGACCGCUCGUCUCGUCCCCCGACCACGACUUCAGCUCCUCCCUUCUGUUCAGUUCACCGAUCGACCGACCAUUCGCCCGUCCUCAACCACGAGAACAAGUCCGAUCCCUUAAUACCGAAUCAAAAAUCCUGCACUCGGGUCCAGGCUCCUCUGUGUCCUCUCUUCACCAGGGUACAGGGACAGCUGGUAGAGUAGCGAUUGGAACUACUGCCUUCAGAUCCGAAGGUUGCAAGGUCAAUCCCCACCUCUGGCUGUAGUGUCCUUGAGCAAAGUACUUACCCUGAAUUGAACCGCUUGUCCCAUACGGGGUCGCGGGGAACCGGAGCCUACCCGACAACACAGGACACAAGGCCGGAGGGGGAAGGGACACAUCGAGGAUGGGACACACCCAGGACGGGAUGCCAGUCCGUCGCAAGGCACCCCCAGCGGGACUCGAACCCCCGACCCACCAGAGAGCAGGACCCAGGCCAACCCACUGCGCCACCACACCCCCUACCCUGAAUUGUUCCAGUAAAAUUACCCAGCCGG